CGAGUGGCGAACGGGUGAGUAAUACAUACGGAACAUGUCCUGUAGUGGGGGAUAGCCCGGCGAAAGCCGGAUUAAUACCGCAUACGAUCUACGGAUGAAAGCGGGGGACCUUCGGGCCUCGCGCUAUAGGGUUGGCCGAUGGCUGAUUAGCUAGUUGGUGGGGUAAAGGCCUACCAAGGCGACGAUCAGUAGCUGGUCUGAGAGGACGACCAGCCACACUGGGACUGAGACACGGCCCAGACUCCUACGGGAGGCAGCAGUGGGGAAUUUUGGACAAUGGGCGAAAGCCUGAUCCAGCAAUGCCGCGUGUGUGAAGAAGGCCUUCGGGUUGUAAAGCACUUUUGUCCGGAAAGAAAUCCUUGGCUCUAAUACAGUCGGGGGAUGACGGUACCGGAAGAAUAAGCACCGGCUAACUACGUGCCAGCAGCCGCGGUAAUACGUAGGGUGCGAGCGUUAAUCGGAAUUACUGGGCGUAAAGCGUGCGCAGGCGGUUUGCUAAGACCGAUGUGAAAUCCCCGGGCUCAACCUGGGAACUGCAUUGGUGACUGGCAGGCUAGAGU
rnacentral:rRNA from 1 species